UGGAACAAGGAGCAACAUUUAAUAUCCGUAUGAGAUCCUUAAGACAGCUGAUGGAAAAUGCAUGGUUAGUGGUCCUGAGGAACAGAAUCACAUAAAUAAUGAAAGACGUGCCAUGGUCCGGAUACUUGUGUCCCACUAGUUGUGCACUUUGGAGAGAAUCCAUCUUCAGGUGCAAAGGCUAUGCUGGCAUCAUCAAUUGUGGAUCAGUUUCCAUGCCUGAAGGACUGUCAAGGCACAGACUAUGACGACGCAUGGUUCACCCCAGGGAGAGGGCAUAAACCCACAACAGGCUUUCUGGAAGAGCAUCUCCGUAAUGUCUGAAAAAGACUCCACUCUGGCAGACGAGUACAUUUAACAUCACAAGUGCCACAAGA